GAGGUCUUAGCUUAAUUAAAGUGUCUGUGUUGCAGUCAGGAGAUGUAUUGUUUAUUUUACAGGCCUUCA
rnacentral:tRNA from 1 species